GAGGCAAGAGGAUUCCUUUUGGCAGGUGGCAGUAGCUUGCAACCUUCCCCAUGGAAGCUGGCAGACAAGGUUGCAAAUCACAUUAUCACAGGGUGCUUGGUAACUGGUUGUAAGUGCGAACAGGUUGCCAAGCGUCCAGAUUGCGAUCACAUGACUAUGGGAAUGGUGGUGCAAGAUUUUGUGAUGUCCAGAAGUAUUUUAUGGGCCCUUUCUGAGUUUGUCAUAAUUUCGGACUCUUGUUAAAUGAACAGUUGUAAGUUGAGAACUACCUGUACAUCAUCUUUGAUAUUGUCACAUGUGCCUACAAAAAGAGAGCAUAUUUUGGAAUCCAUUCCAAGUUGCAACAACUCAGAUGGGAGAGAAAAUGUGUUCUUUCUUAUUCCUAUUUCUCUGGAAAGUUAAGGCAUUCUGUAUAAUUUGAGAGAGAAGGCAUACGCAGCUAGUGGGCGUUCUCUGCAAUUGAUGAAAUGUAUGGCCUCCUCGAUAUGAUUCACAAGAUGCUGAGCCUGGAAGAAAAGAUUUGGCUUACUUAUGCUUUCUGCUCAUUUGUAUACAUGGGUACUGAAGCCUAAGUCACUUCCUGUUCAAAUUACUAAACAAGAGUGGCAGAAAAGCAGAAUAUUUUGGCCAAGGACCAGCAGAUUGAAGUACAUAGAAACCAACAAACACACAUCAUGCAACUCAACUGCUACACCAAAAUAAUUACUUCCACAAGAGUUCCUAUAGCGAACUUUGGACUAUUGAAUCCCAUUGGCUUGUCAUGUUGGCUACAAAGUGAUACAAAAUACCUUUGAAAUCAUCCAGGAAAGCCAGUCUGGAUGACAGAGACAAUAUGGCAAGCUCUGGAACAGCAUAUAAACUGCAGAAAAAAGAUAGGAAUAGAUGCAAAAGUGGAUCCGAAACUGGAAACAUCAUUAAGGGGAAAUCAGGUGAGAAUGCUGGUGUUUAAGGGAGAAUUCAAGCACACAUCUCAGUAUGGUAAGUGACUGGUAAGGUGUAUUAAGACAAACUCUGCCUCUCCAAAACAAAAGUAGACAUGUGGGUGGAAUUACAUUUGUACUUCUGAUGUGCUUGAAAGCUAGCAGGAAUGGAGGAUUAUCUUUCUAUGAUGAUAAUCAAAAGCAGUCUGUCAGAGUUGUGUGCAUUUCCUUUUGUCCUGCUGCUGCUUAUUUACCAACAUAAACUAGAUUGUAUGUAGAAUAGUAAUGUUCACAUGUUCCCAUAUUGUGUGUCCACAACACAGACGUUUGGUGGGGAAUUAGACCUUGGCCUAAUAUGAAGGAUGGGAAAGUGGAGACAAGCACAGGUAUAUGGUUAAAAAGCCAUUUGAUUUCCAAGAGUAUGAUCUUUCUUUCUUUGCUCAUGCUUUCUGAUGCUCUCCACAGUUUGUUUUCCACCUCUUAAUUCCUCACUCUCUUUUCCUUUUCAAGCAUUAUGGAGCACUGAAGUGAGGAUGGCUGGUAUAUGUGGAAACAUCUGCCUCAUCCUCUCAGGCUGGUUUUGAAACACAGGGCAAAACCUCCACCCUAGCCCAGUGGCUCUACAAUACAUGUUCAAAACCAUGGUUUUGUGCAAUAACACAAUCUCAGCAAAGGAUGCCGGGAAAGAAAUGACUUAUAUUUUAGUCUUUCUCUGCUUACCAUUUUUCCUCUGUCUUCCUAGAUUGUAGCUGAAACCUAGUUUUCAUGGUUGAAGGUGAAAUAAUAAUCCUUAGGAAGACUAAAAUGCCUAUUGCCUGUUUAGCAGUCCCUGCACAUUUUUGUCAAGGUGUCUUCCUUACUUUUUUCCAAAGAGAAGUGAUUAAGUCCCUUUCUCAUGACAGAGUUUAACUAUCUGUCAAAACUGCUCUAUCAAUCUGUGUAGACUAACUGGAGAGAGAGUUACACCGUGUUCCCUAUUUACCUGCAGAAGUUUGAUCAUCUGGAAUUGCACUGCCAAAAGCAUGGGUAGCACAUCAUGCUUUGAAAUUUCCAGUCGUGGUAGGCUUCAGGAGAAAACAUGCCUUUAACACUAGAAGAGUUAAAGACAAUUUAAGGCUGCCUCAGCUGUAGAUGGAAGAUGAGAUGAAAUCAACAUCAUGGGGACAUGGUACAAAAACUAGAUUGACAGGACAUAUUUGUCCUGUGUUUGGAUGCAAACAAGAAAUAAGGCCUCAAAGAGAAACAACUGCUAUAUUUUGGAGGAUGAAUAAACAGCCUUAAUAAAUAUAUGUGAGUGACAGAAUAUUCAAUAGGAGGGAACUGUGUGAAAAACAUCAGACUGUUAUUAACUUUAAAAAAAGCUGUUAAAAAGGAACCACAAAAUGUUAAGAAACUUACAAAUAGCUUAGUACAAAUUUUAAGAGAAUGAAACAAGUUGAGGAUAUUAUUACUUUUUCAAAAAGGUACAGUUUCAGAUGGAUUUAAGACAAGUGAUUAAAAAAGAAUUAAAGGGCUGUGUUGUAAUUUAUGAUUCAAUUAAAACAAACUGUGACUCCUAAAGUUUUUAUCUUACAUAUGCCUUGGGAAAAUUUCCACACCCUUUUGAGAGCUACAAAAGAUGAAACUUUCCCCAAUGUAAUUUAAACAUAUCUGGCUGAGAGCUAUAAUGAUUUUUAUAAAAAAACAAAAAAAUCAUUCCUCCCAUAGUAGGAGAAAGGGAGGAAUGAGUAAGCUGCACUUGAGAACCCCUAGUGAGGAGAACAAUGUGAAAGAGGGUGAGGGGAGCACGGAGACAGUGAUCACCCGAAAAAGAGGGGGGAGGAUCCAGCUCAGCCCAAGAAUUGGUGAUGAGGGGGUGAAUGGUAUCAUAUGUAUAGGAAAGAGGAACAGGAAAGGGUUGGAUACUGAUGGCAAGGAUACGUCCAGAAUACAGCCCAAUCAGCUGGGACCAAUGACGAGGUCCAGGAGCCGGAUGCAAAUGCUGGUUAAUUCUAUAUAAGUUGUUCCCGUUGACUAGCUUUUAACCCUGAUGAUGUCGGAAGUUUCCGACGAAAGCAUCGGUAUUUAUUAAAUUUUUCCAGUUUGG